rnacentral:rRNA from 1 species
GAAUUAGUGGUAUCCUGAGUAAUACAUCACACGUGGAACGAUGUAUGAACCCGCGCGGACCACCGCGCAAGGCUAAAUACUAGUUGGCGACCGAUAGUGAACAAGUACCGCGAGGGAAAGGUGAAAAGAACCGCUGUGAGCGGAGUGAAAUAGAACCUGAAACCGUAUGUCUACAAAGUGUCAGAGCAGAGCAAUCUGCGAUGGCGUGCCUUUUGUUUAAUGAGUCUGCGAGUCAGUGUUUGUGGCAAGACUAAGGGCUUCCGGCCCGGAGUCGCAGCGAAAGCAAGUCCGAACAGGGCGCAAUAAGUCGCAGGUACUGGACCCGAAGCGGAGGUGACCUACCCUUGGCCAGGUUGAAGCAUGGGUAAAACCAUGUGGAGGACCGAACAGGUGAACGUUGAAAAGUUCUCUGAUGAGCUGAGGGUAGGAGUGAAAGGCUAAUCAAACCCCGUGAUAGCUGGUUCUCUUCGAAAUGCAUUUAGGUGCAGCGUCACGUGCUGAUGCGCGGGGGUAGAGCACUGACAAGGCUAGGGGGCACACCCGCUUACCAAACCUUAUCAAACUCCGAAUACCGUGCAAUGGAACGUGGCAGUGAGACAGUGGGGGAUAAGCUUCAUUGUCGAGAGGGAAACAACCCAGACCAGCAGCUAAGGUGCCUAAAUAACGCUCAGUGGAAAGGAUGUGGGAUUACACAGACAGUGAGGAUGUUGGCUUAGAAGCAGCCACCAUUUAAAAAAUGCGUAAUAGCUUACUCAUCGAGUGAUCCUGCGCCGAAAAUGAUUGGCGAUCAAGCGUUAUACCGAAGCUCUGGACUUUGCCGCAAGGCAGAGUGGUAGAAGAGCGUUGCAUGCGCGUCGAAGGGCGAUGGCGACUGACCCUGGAGCACAUGCAAGUGAGUAUGCAGACAUGAGUAACGUUAAGCCGGGUGAAAUCCCCGGCCGCCGUAAACCCGAGGUUUCCAGGGCAACGUGUUUCGUCCCUGGGUUAGCCGGGACCUAAGCCGAGGCCGAGAGGCGUAGGCGAUGGACAUCAGGUUAAUAAUCCUGAGCUCGCAACCCUUAAACUGGGGGGACGCAUGAGAAAAGAUGACUAGGUUAUUGAAUUCCGAGUUGAGUCCACGGACUCAGCGCAUCAUUGGAUCGAGUGCCAAGAAAAGCCCCAGCGUAUGCUAAGCGACCCGUACCGCAAACCGACACAGGUGGGUGGGUAGAAUAUACCAAGGCGUAAGAGUGAAACCUGGUUAAGGAACUCGGCAAAUUAGCCCCGUAACUUCGGAAGAAGGGGUGCCUGCAGCGAUGCAGGCCGCAGAGAAAUGGCCCAACCGACUGUUUAUCAAAAACACAGCACUCUGCAAAGACGCAAGUCGAAGUAUAGGGUGUGACACGUGACCAAUGCCGAAAGAUUAAGGCAAGGGGUUAGCCGCAAGGCGAAGCUCUAAACCCAAGUCCCGGUGAAUGUCGGCCGUAACUAUAACGGUCCUAAGGUAGCGAAAUUCCUUGUCGGGUAAGUUCCGACCUGCACGAAUCGUGAAACGAGUUGGGCACUGUCUCAACCAGGCGCUCAGUGAAAUUGUAGUGGCGGUGAAGAUGCCGCCUACCCGCAGAAGGACGGAAAGACCCUAUAGACCUUAACUGUAAGCUGUCAUUGUUUCUUCGGUUUUAAUGCUCAGAGUAAGUGGGAGACGCUGAAGACGCCCUUUAGGGGGCGUCCGAGUCAUCAAUGAGACACCACCCUUUGAAACUGGAGGAUCUAACCCUGAGCCGUGAAUCCGGCCAGAGGACCGUGUCAGCCGGUCAGUUUUACUGGGGCGGUAUCCUCCCAAAGAGUAACGGAGGAGCGCGAAGGUGGGCUCAGCCCGGUUGGCAACCGGGUGUCGAGUGCAUGGGCAUAAGCCCGCCUAACUGUGAGACCAACAAGUCGAGCAGAUGCGAAAGCAGGCCCAAGUGAUCCGGCGGUAGAAAGUGGAAUUGCCGUCGCUCAACGGAUAAAAGGUACCUUAGGGAUAACAGGCUGAUCACGCCCAAGAGUUCAUAUCGACGGCGUGGUUUGGCACCUCGAUGUCGGCUCGUCGCAUCCUGGGGCUGGAGAAGGUCCCAAGGGUCCGGCUGUUCGCCGGUUAAAGCGGCACGCGAGCUGGGUUCAGAACGUCGUGAGACAGUUCGGUCCUCUAUCCU